AGGAUCUCACCCAAAAUGGUUAGCCGAAAGUUAUUAUUUGGGUUCCUUGAUCCUGUAUAAGUACCCAAGAUUUACCCAGCGAAUAACCGAUGUGGGACUAAACACACGCCCGCACGAGUCCUCACAUACUCCCCUCGUUCAAGCCCUGACGUCCUCGUCAGGCUAAGGGUUCAGAUUUAUUCAAAUCUAAUCACAACACCAUGAUUGGCCCGUAGUCAGCCCCAAUGGAUCUGUGCUGCAGU
rnacentral:lncRNA from 1 species